rnacentral:rRNA from 1 species
UACGAAGGGGGCUAGCGUUGCUCGGAAUCACUGGGCGUAAAGGGUGCGUAGGCGGGUCUUUUAAGUCAGGGGUGAAAUCCUGGAGCUCAACUCCAGAACUGCCUUUGAUACUGAAGAUCUUGAGUUCGGGAGAGGUGAGUGGAACUGCGAGUGUAGAGGUGAAAUUCGUAGAUAUUCGCAAGAACACCAGUGGCGAAGGCGGCUCAACUG